AUUGAACGCUGGCGGCAUGCCUUACACAUGCAAGUCGAACGGUAACGGGCCUUCGGGUGCCGCCGAGUGGCGAACGGGUGAGUAAUACAUCGGAACGUGCCCGAUCGUGGGGGAUAACGAGGCGAAAGCUUUGCUAAUACCGCAUACGAUCUACGGAUGAAAGCAGGGGACCGCAAGGCCUUGCGCGGACGGGGCGGCCGAUGGCAGAUUAGGUAGUUGGUGGGAUAAAAGCUUACCAAGCCGACGAUCUGUAGCUGGUCUGAGAGGAUGAUCAGCCACACUGGGACUGAGACACGGCCCAGACUCCUACGGGAGGCAGCAGUGGGGAAUUUUGGACAAUGGGCGCAAGCCUGAUCCAGCCAUGCCGCGUGCAGGAUGAAGGCCUUCGGGUUGUAAACUGCUUUUGUACGGAACGAAAAGCCUUCUUUUAAUACAGGAGGGUCAUGACGGUACCGUAAGAAUAAGCACCGGCUAACUACGUG
rnacentral:rRNA from 1 species